CGAACGGGUGCGUAACGCGUACGCAAUCUACCUCUGACUGAGGGAUAGCCCCGGGAAACUGGGAUUAAUACCUCAUAAUAUUUCGGGAAGGCAUCUUCCUGUUAUUAAACCUCCGGGGGUCAGAGAUGAGCGUGCGUCUGAUUAGGUAGUUGGCGGAGUAAUAGCCCACCAAGCCUGCGAUCAGUAGCUGGCGUGAGAGCGCGACCAGCCACACGGGCACUGAGACACGGGCCCG
rnacentral:rRNA from 1 species